UACGUUUAGUUGCUAACGCGUGAAGGCGAGCACUCUAGACGAACUGCCGUUGACAAAACGGAGGAAGUGGGGAUGACGUCAAAUCAUCAUGCCCUUAUGUUCUGGGCUACACACGUGCUACAAUGGCCGGUACAGACGGACGCAAGCCGCGAGGUGGAGCAAAUCCCAUAAAGCCGGCCUCAGUUCAGAUCGGAGGCUGCAACUCGCCUCCGUGAAGGCGGAAUCGCUAGUAAUCGCGGAUCAGCAGGCCGCGGUGAAUACGUUCCCGGGCCUU
rnacentral:rRNA from 1 species